AUACCAGAUUUAAACGGCAGAGGCCGACCGUGCUUGCACGGGGAGGCAAGUGCCGGUUUAAAUCGCCAAAACAUGAGGAUGCAGCGAUUUGCAAAGCAAAUCCGCAGAAUCCGAAUGUUUUCAGAAUUGCGAGAGCUGCGAAGCAGCGGAGCAAUUCGUAGGUAU
rnacentral:sRNA from 1 species